AAGUAGUAAUAUAUUUUAUUAAAACUCAUUUAUUUCGGCGGCAUUUCAUCUUAUUAGAGGAACUUGUUAUAUAAUCGACAACCCACGAUAAUUUUCACUUAAAUUAAAAAUUUAUAUAUCGCCAUCUAAAGAGUUAAUUAAAAAAUAUUUUUCAAAAUAACAUAAUAAAAAGAUAGGUCAAGGUGUAAUCCACAUAUAAGAAAAUAAUGAGUUACAUUAAAAACAAUUUAAGGGUUAUUAUAUUAUAACAUAAUAUAAAUAAGGAUUUAAAAUCAAUCUUCAAAAUAAUAAUUUACCAUGAAUUAGAAAAUAAAUGUGC
rnacentral:rRNA from 1 species